UCUAGUUUCGGUUCUUCCCAGUGUUAGUUAGGCUAACUAACGAUAGGAUCAUUUGCCAAAAGAGAAGGCCGGUAAUGGCCAAGGAGCGUAGGAGGACGAUGACGACAUCGGAAACAAGAGAACGAAGACUCUGGGUAUCAGCUAUAGCGUACACUGGUACUUAAUACACCAAAUUUCACAUUUCAUUUUGACAAUCGCCUUCUCGAUUUCUCGAAUUGUCUGUCUCAAAUAUUCAAUCCUUUUCUCUCCUUCUAAGUUCUGAAAAGCUACAAUUCUCGACGAUGAUAGAAGAUAACAUAAUAAGGCAGAGCUUGAGGAACAAGGAACAAGAAGGCAGUCCUCCUUUAUUCCCAACCCUUCAAUGAGGAGGAUGCAUAGUUUGAAGCAGUCAUGAUUCCAAAUCAUUUCUUGAGGAUUGAAGAAGAGAUAAUAAUCCUCAUUCUAAAAUGGAAUGUAAAAAGGAUCAAUCGUGAGCAGCGUGGCAGAAGUGAUAAAGGUCUCUAUGCAUUUGGCUUGGGUCUCAAACUGUCCUAUGUGCCCCAAAGUCUUCCCAAUGCGAUAAAAGAUUUAUCAAUCGGUGAAAGCAACGAGGUCAAACUAUUGUUAUUGAAUGAUUACCUUCUCAAGUGUCAAGAAGAAAUGACUUUCACUGGAGUUUUUAAGCAAGAACUUCCUCAGAGCAGGUCUCUGCUAACGGAUGCAAUUGAGGCUUUGAAAGAGGAAAUGAGGAAAACAAGGAUCGCAAUGGGCCUUGAAUCUGAGAGUUCUCCAGAGGAUGUCUUAGCAACAAAGAAGAGGGGUUCUGAUGAGCAGCAAGGGUUGGACCUGAAUAAUCCAUGUUCUGAUCAAUGGAGUAAUACUCCUACUCAUCACCAUCAUAACAAGGAGCAAAUUUGUGGUAGUUUAUCAAUUGAUCCUUCUCCUAGCAUGGAGGUGAAUUUGACUGUUGGAGAAAAUCAAGAACCCGUGAGUUAUAAGAUGAAACCAUUAACGCAAUGUAUUUGGAAAAACAACCGGAGAUCUUGGACACCGGAGCUUCAUGCUAGGUUUGCGGUGGUUCUUCAUCUGCUAGGUGGCCCUGAAGUGGCUACACCGAAGCAAAUAAGAGAUCAGAUGCAGGUUGAAGGGCUGACCACUAAUCAAGUGAAAAGCCAUUUGCAGAAGUAUAGGAUGAACUGGAGGAGUUCACCAGAGGGUGCGGCUGAUCCCCAGCGGAGAUCAAAGUUGUUCUGCAGGAAUCUAGCAAGACCACCAAGUGCAGCAGCUGAUGCCAUCAACAUGGAAGAAAUAAAUUAAUUGAAGACCUUGCAGAGACAGCUAUAUAUAUUGCCAAAUCCAAGCCAUUGAAAGCUUGAAGGCGGAGGAGGUCAUGAAGAUAAAAAUGAGUAGAAUCUCUGAAGCCAGUGAACAGCUUCUAAUGGAGUGGAAAAACUACAAAAACAUGCAGAGUUCCACCUUUGAAAAGUACAUCCCAGAAGAAAAAAUUCACUUUGUGAGCUCUUCUUCUCAGGUGAAUGAGCUUAAUCACUGUGACAAGAAGCAGAAACCAACACUACUGAACUCCUGUCCAAUCCUGGCAAGCAAGUCUGAUGGGAUAUCUACAAUGAGGCUGUGUUCAUCUACUCCGGCGCUGGCAGUCCUGAAAUGGCCUGGUCAGGAGCUUGCAAAAGGCUCAAGUUGUAACAGCUUGAACCAAAGUGUGAAUGAGCAACCUCUGAAAUUUGAGUCCCAGCCAAUAAGGCCAAAGCCUAAAGAAAUGAAACAUUACAGAAGAUCCUGGACACCAGAGCUUCAUGCCAAGUGAAGGGCUCACAAUUGAUCAAGUAAAGAGCCAUUUGCAGAAGUUUCGGCUUCAGAUUAAAAGAACACAAGCAACCAAACAAAUCCUCUAGGAUGUGUGGAGAUGGUUCAGGAACCAUGGACAUCAGAGUUGUACACUACAGAGGAAUCUAACCUUUGACGACAAGGGAUCCUGUUCAAGAAUACUAGUUUAACCUAAAUACUUGGUAGUAGCAACUCAAAAACAUGCCUUUUUAUGGGAUGUUUAUGGUAAUGAACUGCUUUAUGUAACGCUGUUUUAGAACUUGCCUUUUACUUAGGUUGGAGUAAUAUAUAUUUUCCAGAAGGAAUAUGAUGCAUUUUUGUAUAAGAUUCUUGCAUCUUACAAGGGAUGAAAGAGCACAGACGAGCUUUUUCAUUUGAUCAUUGAAAGAAUGGCAAUAUUUCUGACAAGCCCACAUAUUGUGGGGGCAGAAUUAGCUCUGCUAGAGCAUCUAUGUUUGUGGUUUGCUAUAGAAUUGAAAUCAUGUACAGUAACUGACA